CCUACGGGAGGCAGCAGUGGGGAAUUUUGGACAAUGGGCGCAAGCCUGAUCCAGCAAUGCCGCGUGCAGGAUGAAGGCCUUCGGGUUGUAAACUGCUUUUGUACGGAACGAAACGGUCCUUUCUAAUACAAGGGGCUAAUGACGGUACCGUAAGAAUAAGCACCGGCUAACUACGUGCCAGCAGCCGCGGUAAUACGUAGGGUGCGAGCGUUAAUCGGAAUUACUGGGCGUAAAGCGUGCGCAGGCGGUUAUAUAAGACAGAUGUGAAAUCCCCGGGCUCAACCUGGGACCUGCAUUUGUGACUGUAUAGCUAGAGUGCGGCAGAGGGGGAUGGAAUUCCGCGUGUAGCAGUGAAAUGCGUAGAUAUGCGGAGGAACACCGAUGGCGAAGGCAAUCCCCUGGGCCUGCACUGACGCUCAUGCACGAAAGCGUGGGGAGCAAACAGGAUUAGAUACCCUGGUAGUCCACGCCCUAAACGAUGUCAACUGGUUNUUGGGUCUUCACUGACUCAGUAACGAAGCUAACGCGUGAAGUUGACCGCCUGGGGGUGGUACGCGCGAGUUAGAAGUANAANAGAGUGAGNGNGAGAGNGCGAGGACGACGACGAGGAGGAGG
rnacentral:rRNA from 1 species